rnacentral:rRNA from 1 species
UACGGAGGGUGCAAGCGUUAUCCGGAAUCACUGGGUUUAAAGGGUGCGUAGGCGGCUUAGUAAGUCAGAAGUGAAAGCCUGCGGCUUAACCGUAGAAUUGCUUUUGAUACUGCUGAGCUUGAAUUAGGUUGAGGUUGGCGGAAUGUGACAUGUAGCGGUGAAAUGCAUAGAUAUGUCAUAGAACACCAAUUGCGAAGGCAGCUGACUAGACCUUAAUUGACGCUGAGGCACGAAAGCGUGGGGAGCGAACAGG